AGGCAUUGAGGCAGCCAGCGCAGGGGCUUCUGCUGAGGGGGCAGGCGGAGCUUGAGGAAACCGCAGAUAAGUUUUUUUCUCUUUGAAAGAUAGAGAUUAAUACAACUACUUAAAAAAUAUAGUCAAUAGGUUACUAAGAUAUUGCUUAGCGUUAAGUUUUUAACGUAAUUUUAAUAGCUUAAGAUUUUAAGAGAAAAUAUGAAGACUUAGAAGAGUAGCAUGAGGAAGGAAAAGAUAAAAGGUUUCUAAAACAUGACGGAGGUUGAGAUGAAGCUUCUUCAUGGAGUAAAAAAUGUAUUUAAAAGAAAAUUGAGAGAAAGGACUACAGAGCCCCGAAUUAAUACCAAUAGAAGGGCAAUGCUUUUAGAUUAAAAUGAAGGUGACUUAAACAGCUUAAAGUUUAGUUUAAAAGUUGUAGGUGAUUAAAAUAAUUUGAAGGCGAUCUUUUAAAAAGAGAUUAAACCGAAGGUGAUUAAAAGACCUUGAAAUCCAUGACGCAGGGAGAAUUGCGUCAUUUAAAGCCUAGUUAACGCAUUUACUAAACGCAGACGAAAAUGGAAAGAUUAAUUGGGAGUGGUAGGAUGAAACAAUUUGGAGAAGAUAGAAGUUUGAAGUGGAAAACUGGAAGACAGAAGUACGGGAAGGCGAAGAAAAGAAUAGAGAAGAUAGGGAAAUUAGAAGAUAAAAACAUACUUUUAGAAGAAAAAAGAUAAAUUUAAACCUGAAAAGUAGGAAGCAGAAGAAAAAAGACAAGCUAGGAAACAAAAAGCUAAGGGCAAAAUGUACAAACUUAGAAGAAAAUUGGAAGAUAGAAACAAGAUAGAAAAUGAAAAUAUUGUCAAGAGUUUCAGAUAGAAAAUGAAAAACAAGCUAAGACAAGUAUUGGAGAAGUAUAGAAGAUAGAAAAAUAUAAAGCCAAAAAUUGGAUAAAAUAGCACUGAAAAAAUGAGGAAAUUAUUGGUAACCAAUUUAUUUUAAAAGCCCAUCAAUUUAAUUUCUGGUGGUGCAGAAGUUAGAAGGUAAAGCUUGAGAAGAUGAGGGUGUUUACGUAGACCAGAACCAAUUUAGAAGAAUACUUGAAGCUAGAAGGGGAAGUUGGUUAAAAAUCACAUCAAAAAGCUACUAAAAGGACUGGUGUAAUUUAAAAAAAACUAAGGCAGAAGGCUUUUGGAAGAGUUAGAAGAAUUUGGAAGGCCUUAAAUAUAGUAGCUUAGUUUGAAAAAUGUGAAGGACUUUCGUAACGGAAGUAAUUCAAGAUCAAGAGUAAUUACCAACUUAAUGUUUUUGCAUUGGACUUUGAGUUAAGAUUAUUUUUUAAAUCCUGAGGACUAGCAUUAAUUGACAGCUGACCCAGGUGCUACACAGAAGUGGAUUCAGUGAAUCUAGGAAGACAGCAGCAGACAGGAUUCCAGGAACCAGUGUUUGAUGAAGCUAGGACUGAGGAGCAAGCGAGCAAGCAGCAGUUCGUGGUGAAGAUAGGAAAAGAGUCCAGGAGCCAGUGCGAUUUGGUGAAGGAAGCUAGGAAGAAGGAAGGAGCGCUAACGAUUUGGUGGUGAAGCUAGGAAAAAGGAUUCCAGGAAGGAGCGAGUGCAAUUUGGUGAUGAAGGUAGCAGGCGGCUUGGCUUGGCAACCACACGGAGGAGGCGAGCAGGCGUUGUGCGUAGAGGAUCCUAGACCAGCAUGCCAGUGUGCCAAGGCCACAGGGAAAGCGAGUGGUUGGUAAAAAUCCGUGAGGUCGGCAAUAUGUUGUUUUUCUGGAACUUACUUAUGAUAACAUCUUCUGAGUCAUAACCAGCCUGGCAGUAUGAUGGCCUAGAUGCAGAGAAAACAGCUCCUUGGUGAAUUGAUAAGUAAAGGCAGAAAAGAUUAUAUGUCAUACCUCCAUUGGGGAAUAAGCAUAACCCUGAGAUUCUUACUACUGAUGAGAACAUUAUCUGCAUAUGCCAAAAAAUUUUAAGCAAAUGAAAGCUACCAAUUUAAAGUUACGGAAUCUACCAUUUUAAAGUUAAUUGCUUGUCAAGCUAUAACCACAAAAAUAAUGAAUUGAUGAGAAAUACAAUGAAGAGGCAAUGUCCAUCUCAAAAUACUGCUUUUACAAAAGCAGAAUAAAAGCGAAAA
ensembl:lncRNA MALAT1 metastasis associated lung adenocarcinoma transcript 1